GCGUCCGUUUCUAUUACUGUCCUUCGAUGGAUGAAGGCCUGGGCCUUUCAACCCAGGCGUCCUUCGACGGGCGUGUUGAGGAGUCGUCCGGGAAACCGGGCGUCCCUUCAAGUGCGAA
rnacentral:misc_RNA from 1 species